AACAAAAUGCCUGAAGUUAAAGGAUUACUUUGAUAGAGUAAAUAAUGUGUUUUCACUUUUGUUA
rnacentral:tRNA from 1 species